GGGUGUGAGAGUGAUCUGGCUACAACAUCUGUCACCCCAUUGAUUGCCAGGCUGGCUUCAUUAGUUCUGGCUGGCUAGGCUGGGGUCUCCUUCCUCCUUACCUUCCCGUGUACAUCUUUUCUUCAGCUGCAUGCUGUCAAGAAGAAUAUAGUUCUUAGCAGGGAAUAACCCCACUUGACUCAAGA
rfam:Chlorocebus sabaeus isolate 1994-021 chromosome 20, whole genome shotgun sequence.